UGUUGUUUUGGUGGCGCAGGCUUCUUCCUUGGUACAUCUUCACAUCUUUUUUCAGUGCACUUCCAGACUGAUCUUUUCAUUUUCCUGACAAAUAAAAACAACUGGACUAUCUGGAUCUCUGCUGGUGAAAGUUGACACAAUGGCAAAACAAACAGCAUCAACAGUUUGCUUCUUAUUGAUUUUAUUCGUCACAGUCUUUGCUCAAGGGAUAGUUGGUUGGAAGUACUUCCAAGACUGUCCAGGAAUUCCCUUCAUCCCUAUUUAUCUUUGUGGACCCAUCUUUGCCUUCUUUGCAUUCUGCAUAUGUCGGUCAUGUAACGAGCUUUGUUUGUUCGUGACCACCCUCGUCUUCUUUUGCUGGUACAUUGCUGGUAGUGCAGUGAUCUACAGCAAUUAUGAACAACUACAGACUACAGACUACAGAUACUGCAAUAAGACGCUCUACCUUUUUGCAUUUUCGAGCACCAU